GGGUGUGACUGCGUACCUUUUGUAUAAUGGGUCAGCGACUUAUAUUCUGUAGCAAGGUUAACCGAAUAGGGGAGCCGGAGGGAAACCGAGUCUUAACCGGGCGUUAAGUUGCAGGGUAUAGACCCGAAACCCGGUGAUCUAGCCAUGGGCAGGUUGAAGGUUGGGUAACACUAACUGGAGGACCGAACCGACUAAUGUUGAAAAAUUAGCGGAUGACCUGUGGCUGGGGGUGAAAGGCCAAUCAAACCGGGAGAUAGCUGGUUCUCCCCGAAAGCUAUUUAGGUAGCGCCUCGUGAAUUCAUCUCCGGGGGUAGAGCACUGUUUCGGCUAGGGGGCCAUCCCGGCUUACCAACCCGAUGCAAACUGCGAAUACCGGAGAAUGUUAUCACGGGAGACACACGGCGGGUGCUAACGUCCGUCGUGAAGAGGGAAACAACCCAGACCGCCAGCUAAGGUCCCAAAGUCAUGGUUAAGUGGGAAACGAUGUGGGAAGGCCCAGACAGCCAGGAUGUUGGCUUAGAAGCAGCCAUCAUUUAAAGAAAGCGUAAUAGCUCACUGGUCGAGUCGGCCUGCGCGGAAGAUGUAACGGGGCUAAACCAUGCACCGAAGCUGCGGCAGCGACACUGUGUGUUGUUGGGUAGGGGAGCGUUCUGUAAGCCUGUGAAGG
rnacentral:rRNA from 1 species